GGGGUUGUGGCUCAGAGGUAGAGCACUUGCCUACCAUUCAUGAGGCGCUGGGUUCAAUCCUCAGCACCA
rnacentral:tRNA from 1 species